GUGAGGAAUAUUGGUCAAUGGGCGGGAGCCUGAACCAGCCAAGUCGCGUGAAGGAAGAAGGAUCUAUGGUUCGUAAACUUCUUUUGCAGGGGAAUAAAGUGCGGGACGUGUCCUGUUUUGUAUGUACCCUGAGAAUAAGGAUCGGCUAACUCCGUGCCAGCAGCCGCGGUAAUACGGAGGAUCCGAGCGUUAUCCGGCUUUAUUGGGUUUAAAGGGUGCGUAGGUGGUUUGAUAAGUCAGCGGUGAAAGUUUGCAGCUUAACUGUAAAAAUGCCGUUGAAACUGUCGGACUUGAGUGUAAAGGAGGUAGGCGGAAUGCGUGGUGUAGCGGUGAAAUGCAUAGAUAUCACGCAGAACUCCGAUUGCGAAGGCAGCUUACUAAGCUACAACUGACACUGAAGCACGAAAGCGUGGGGAUCAAACAGGAUUAGAAACCCCGGUAGUCC
rnacentral:rRNA from 1 species